ACCAACCCCGGCAGCUGCACGUGGGCUUCUAGAGGGUGCGCCCCCACUGCGUACGGUGCAGCUACAAUACCUGCGAGGUCUUCCUUGGAAGAGACGAGUCUUGGAGAGCUGCUUCCUGGCUCGAUUCUGAGCGACAGUCUGAAAACAAGGAUUUUCACAAGGCAUGGGUCUCUGGUCUAGUGGUGGAGACGGAAGACUCCUGAUGAAUGGGUUCAGACGCCAUGAUUCUGCCUGGCUCCGCCAGUGGCUGCUUGGAAAGCAGUGAAGAUGUGUGUGCAUCCAUUUCCCCAUCUGUCCUACCAGUGAAUGGAGAUAGUGCCAGUGACAGGCCAUGGUGGAGAUAACACAUCCACAGCCCGGCCACGCGCCCGGCACAGGGAGUCAUGCCCAUGUCAUUACCAUCAUGAUUACUGGAUGUGGGGUGAAAACAACCGCCGCGUCCCUGGCCAGGGAAGGUCCAAGCCUAGUGAGACAAUGUGUCUUUUUAAAAUCAAAUUUCCUGGGGCCAUAUUGAUGAAUAAAAUUAUAUCAGUUUCAAGUGUGUAGUUCUAUAAUACAUCAUGUGUAGAUUGCAUUGUGUUCACCCCCCAAAGUCAAGUCUCCUUCCAUCACCGUGUAUUUGACCCCUUUACCUUUUACUGACUGACUCCUCCUACCCCUUUCUCUCUGUAACCACAGUCCUGUUGUUUGUAUACGAGGGGUUUUUUUGUCUUGUUAGUUUAUUUGUUUCUUUCAG